AGUCGGGAAUUUUGGGCAAUGGGCGAAAGCCUGACCCAGCAACGCCGCGUGAAGGAUGAAGCCCUUCGGGGUGUAAACUUCGAAAGGAUGGGAAGAAUAAAUGACGGUACCAUCUUUAAGCUCCGGCUAACUACGUGCCAGCAGCCGCGGUAAUACGUAGGGAGCAAGCGUUGUUCGGAUUUACUGGGCGUAAAGGGCGCGUAGGCGGCGUGUCAAGUCAGCUGUGAAAUCUCCGAGCUUAACUCGGAACGGCCAGCUGAUACUGAUGUGCUAGAGUGCAGAAGGGGCAAUCGGAAUUCUUGGUGUAGCGGUGAAAUGCGUAGAUAUCAAGAGGAACACCUGAGGCGAAGGCGGGUUGCUAGGCUGACACUGACGCUGAGGCGCGAAAGCCAGGGGAGCAAA
rnacentral:rRNA from 1 species